rnacentral:rRNA from 1 species
UACGGAGGGUGCGAGCGUUGUCCGGAAUUAUUGGGCGUAAAGCGCGCGUAGGCGGCCCGGUAAGUCCGUUGUGAAAGUCAAAGGCUCAACCUUUGAACGCCGAUGGAUACUGCCGGGCUAGAGUCCGGAAGAGGCGAGUGGAAUUCCUGGUGUAGCGGUGGAAUGCGCAGAUAUCAGGAGGAACACCAAUAGCGAAGGCAGCUCGCUGGGACGGUACUGACGCUGAGGCGCGAAAGCCAGGGGAGCGAACGGG